UACAGAAGGGGCAAGCGUUGUUCGGAAUUACUGGGCGUAAAGGGCGCGUAGGCGGCCUGCUAAGUCGAACGUGAAAUCCCCGGGCUCAACCCGGGAACUGCGUCCGAUACUGGCAGGCUUGAAUCCGGGAGAGGGAUGCGGAAUUCCAGGUGUAGCGGUGAAAUGCGUAGAUAUCUGGAGGAACACCGGUGGCGAAGGCGGCAUCCUGGACCGGCAUUGACGCUGAGGCGCGAAAGCCAGGGGAGCAAACGGG
rnacentral:rRNA from 1 species